rnacentral:rRNA from 1 species
GACGAACGCUGGCGGCAUGCCUAAUACAUGCAAGUCGAACGCUGAAGCACUCUGCUUGCAGAGUGCGGAUGAGUGGCGAACGGGUGAGUAACACGUGGGAAAUCUACCUAAAAGUGGGGGAUAACAUUCGGAAACGGAUGCUAAUACCGCAUAUCUUCAAGAACCGCAUGGUUCCUGAACGAAAGACGGCUUCGGCUGUCGCUCUUAGAUGAUCCCGCGGCGUAUUAGUUAGUUGGUGGGGUAAAGGCCUACCAAGACGAUGAUACGUAGCCGACCUGAGAGGGUGAUCGGCCACAUUGGGACUGAGACACGGCCCAA